UACGAAGGGGGCUAGCGUUGUUCGGAAUCAUUGGGCGUAAAGCGCACGUAGGCGGUUCGUUAUGUCGGAUGUGAAAGCCCUUGGCUUAACCGAGGAAGUGCAUCCGAAACUGGCGAGCUAGAGUACGAAAGAGGAUCGCGGAAUUCCCGGUGUAGAGGUGAAAUUCGUAGAUAUCGGGAGGAACACCGGUGGCGAAGGCGGCGAUCUGGGUCGAUACUGACGCUGAGGUGCGAAAGCGUGGGGAGCAACAGG
rnacentral:rRNA from 1 species